ACUUCGGUCUGGUGGCGAGUGGCGAACGGGUGAGUAAUGUAUCGGAACGUGCCCAGUAGCGGGGGAUAACUACGCGAAAGCGUAGCUAAUACCGCAUACGCCCUACGGGGGAAAGCAGGGGAUCGCAAGACCUUGCACUAUUGGAGCGGCCGAUAUCGGAUUAGCUAGUUGGUGGGGUAACGGCUCACCAAGGCGACGAUCCGUAGCUGGUUUGAGAGGACGACCAGCCACACUGGGACUGAGACACGGCCCAGACUCCUACGGGAGGCAGCAGUGGGGAAUUUUGGACAAUGGGGGAAACCCUGAUCCAGCCAUCCCGCGUGUGCGAUGAAGGCCUUCGGGUUGUAAAGCACUUUUGGCAGGAAAGAAACGUCAUGGGUUAAUACCCCGUGAAACUGACGGUACCUGCAGAAUAAGCACCGGCUAACUACGUGCCAGCAGCCGCGGUAAUACGUAGGGUGCAAGCGUUAAUCGGAAUUACUGGGCGUAAAGCGUGCGCAGGCGGUUCGGAAAGAAAGAUGUGAAAUCCCAGAGCUUAACUUUGGAACUGCAUUUUU
rnacentral:rRNA from 1 species